rnacentral:misc_RNA from 1 species
AAAGUACGCAGUUCCAUGAAGAAAAUAGACUUUCAGAAAAGCAAUUAUUAGAAGUACAACGACUUGUUUCUUAGAGAAAAUGUGGAAAUGUAAGAGAGAAUUUAUAAAAACUUGACGUGUGCGUUUCACAAUGUUCUAUCAAUAUAUCGCUUUUAGAUAUUGCAAAACUCGCGACGAUUCUGGAUGGUUUCAGGAAAUCCACGCUUAUACUGCGCGUGCUGGAAGAAAAAAAGACAAAGCAAAGAAGAGAAGACGAAAGAAAGAUGAAAGCCCGGUCGCGCAGGAUAACAAUGGACCACUUGUUAGACAGCUCAUCCCCCGACACUGAAAAUACAACGGAUACUAUUAUCGAUUAUUUAUUGAGACUUCUUAUAGCCAGCGAUUCAGCUGAAAAUAGAUCUGAUGCGGUUAUUUUCGAUUAUCGAUGAAUGCGAACCUUAUCGUCAAUGUCGAGGAACUUCCGCUUCGUCGUACGCAUUUCUCAGAUACGUAUGCAAACGGGUAAAUAGUACUCUGCAAACAGCGAGUCCAUGAUAAAUAUUGGAUGUGAUAGUAGAGAGAAACGUAAUAGAAAUAUAUAAAAAGUAAACGGCAGAUAAAAACGAAGUCUGAUAUGAAAGAUUGAUACUUCCAUCAAAGAAGUGCCUCUACUCUCAAUUAUUGUACAUUCGAUUUUCAACUAUCGCUAAUGUUUCUUUGAUUAUUGAGUAUUUAAAUCUGAAUGGAUUUCAUUAUGAAUGUUUGCGAUAUAACUUUGACGGUUUGUAACGAAUUGAAGAGAAUAAUAAUACGGAUGCGAGAUGUAACGAAUUUUAGAUAUACGGAAGUAAAUCAGUUGACGAGGUGCGAAAAACGGAAGAGAAGAAUAAAGGAAUGAGAAUGAAGAAAAGUGAAGAGAUGUGACAGGAACUGACGAUUGCACGAGAAACCGCAUUGUGCACGCAGCCUUAUUCCACGCGUCGAGCUCGCUCGCUUCGUGCCCCCAAAGGCCCGUCUGCGAGAUCUCUAUCUCGCUCCGCCAGAGAGGUCUCGCCUCUCAGCUCUCGAGGGACCUCCUUCUCAUUGAAGAGUCAGUCAGUCAGUCAGUUCGCCGGAGCGAUACGUUACGCGUGCAUCGCUGCUAUCCACGAGCGAAAGAAGAAGGUAUCGUGCGUGCGUGCGUGUUCUCCGUUCUGUUUUACUGAUCGAGCGGGGUGGACAACCGCGCGUUGAAAUCACCUUCGCGGAGACGCGUGUAAUCGCAGCAGCCGUGUAUCGUGCAAAUCUCCCUUCGAUUUCACGCGCGGAAUCGCACGGCGUCGAAUCGAGCGAUAACAUCGCGCGGAAGGUUGAUCCGCGCGCGGUCAAUCCGGCUGUAAUCGAGCAGCGAGGAGAAGCGAUACAUACGCGUUGCACCGGCGCGCGACACCGGCGUGUGUUGUUGUGCAAAACACCUGGCCCAAGUAGCAGCCGACGGUCCUAGUAGCUGCGACGAUUGGGCUUCGGGCGCAUCGCGCGGCGAUCGCAAUGCGUUCGACCGCGUUCGCCGUGACCACGGUGACAGCGGCGGUCCUGUUCCUGCUCCUGGAGGUGACGAAGCACGGCCACGGCGCGAAACCCGAGCAAAACGAAAAGCCAUUCGGCGAUAUCAGCUUAUGGAUCGACCAGCAGCAGAUCAAGAUGUUAAGCGGAUUCCCCAUGGAAAUCUACGCGAUUGCGGAAGGCAGAGUGCUCAGUUAUCUUUUGGAGCGUGAUUUCGAAAGCAAAUUGCCGAUCAUACCGAGUGAGGUGUCACAGGUGAAUUUCACAUGGAAGUCAGGGGCGAAAAGAUAUUACUAUCAUUUUUUCGAACUACAUUCCUUCGAUGAGUCUAUUUUGGAGACGCCGCGGAUCUCGAUAAAAACAAAAGGACGGGUGCCCAACACACCAGAAGAGUUCAGCGUUGUGCUGCCGUGCGCUGGCAAUUCGGGAAUCGCGCAAUUCGGCAUCGGUCUAGUAAUCGAGAAGCGUAAGAAAAAACCACUAAAUGGGACGCCCCUUCGUUUGCGUCUAAAAAAAGAAUGCACCGUGCGCGGUGAGUUCGUCAGAGCCCACGAUCACCACCUCUUCACUCGCACAUACAAGCCUAAUCCCGUUUCUUGCCCAGAUGGCUAUCUAGGGCCACCUGAAUGCAACAAAGCGCUAUGCUAUCCAAAUUGUAUGAACAACGGUAAUUGCACGGCGCCAGGUGUGUGCUCGUGCCCGCCAGGAUAUCAAGGACCUUAUUGCGAAGGAGGUAUCUGUGCGGAGAAAUGUAUGAACGGUGGGAAAUGUAUACAGAAGGACGUCUGCCUGUGUCCAAAGGGUUAUUUCGGCUUUCACUGCGAAUUCUCCAAAUGUGUCAUUCCUUGUUUGAACGGAGGCAAGUGCAGAGGAAACAACAUUUGCAAGUGUCCAGUGGGAUUUAAAGGUAACCAUUGCGAGAUUGGCAGACGUUCGCAGCAUCGAUCAACGUGCACAAGAGGGUGCAGGAACGGAAUCUGUCAAUCAGACAACACGUGUAUCUGUAAUCGCGGAUGGUUCGGAAAAUUAUGUAACAAAAACAAGCCUUGGGCUUAAAGAGACCGAUGGAAUACUUCCACUGUUGUUUUUCACGCACUGACUGAAUCAUUGAAUGAUUCCUUAAAACGAUAUUCUAAAUUGUCAGGCAGAAACCGCACUAUGAUUAUAACGUAUCUAUCUUGGAAUGUAUGAAGAAAUGAAGAUCUAUGCGCUAAUAGAGAAAGAGUCACCAUGCCAAAAGAUUUUUAGAAUUCCGUUUGAUUUAGUACAACGAUGAAGCGACAAACAUGGAAAAAAAUUCAUAUAUAAUUUGUAUCCCAAGAAAUAUCAAUUGGUCAAAUCAAGAUGUAACGACUGUAAAAACCAGAUAGGAACAAAAUGUAUUUUCUAACAGAAAGCAUGAUUACGAAAUAAUUCAGCAUUAUAGUAAUGUACCUGUGAUGGACUUUUCUGCUCUUACACUAUUUUUUUCUAUGUAUAUCUUAGAAUAUAGGUGAGAAUAAAUCUGAUUUUACAACAAAUGAAAAAUAUGAAUUACUAUUAGAACAAUUUGUACUUAUAAACUGUUUUAAAUUUGUAUUGCUUAUAUAGACAAAGAUACAAUUCAAAAAAUAGCAUACAUAAAAUUACAUAUAAAUGUUUUUCACGCUUGUGUGUUAAAGAAUUAUGUAGCGACAACAAUGUAGCAAAUUUUUACACAAAUUCCGAGUGAGAAUUUCGAACCGAGAACUUUAUGUUACGUUAUACACGACAAUAAUAAUGUAAUAACAUUGUAAUAAAAGGAUAACUGGCAUGACA